CUCUUAGCCAGGUGGCAGAUUCUUUCGCUGUGCCCAAUUAGCUGCUGCCGCGCCUUGGAGUCCGGAGUAACUUGGCCAGGCUGGCCCCGAGCGGAACUGGAGAAAGCUGAGGGGGUUGGGCAUGUUCCAGGAUCUGUCUAUCGACUUCUCUCAGGAGGAAUGGGAGGGCCUGGACACUGCUCAGAAGGACUUAUAGAGAGAUGUAAUGAUGGAGAACUAUAGCAGCCUGGUCUCACUAGAUAUAUAUAUAUGGAAAAGAGAAGGUCCAAGAAUAUCAAAGACAUUGAAGAAGAGGAAAGAUUUGUCCUGCCAAAUAUCAGAACUUUUAUAAAGCUACAGCAAUUAAGACAGUGUGGUCCUCACUGAUAAACUGACUAAUGAAACAGAAUAGAGAGCUCCCAAGCAAAUCUCUACAAAUUUAAUCUUCGAUACGUGAUGUAGGUGACAUGGCAGAUCAGUAAGGAAAGAAAGGACUUUUCAAUAAAUAGAAUAGAAAAAUAAUGGUUAUUGAUAUAAGAAACAAAAUGAAAUUAUAUUCCUACUUCACUCUAUAUACAAACAUUAAAUUCCAGAGGACCAAAGACU
rnacentral:lncRNA from 10 species